AAGUCGUAACAAGGUUUCCGUAGGUGAACCUGCGGAAGGAUCAUUAUCAGAGCUUUGCUCAUUCCAUUCUUGUGAAAAUUCUAGUCUUCAAAUUAAAACUUUCAACAACGGAUCUCUUGGCUCCG
rnacentral:misc_RNA from 1 species